UUCAUGGGUCCCACCAGUAUGAUUCUUCACUUUCCCCAUUCUAUAGUCUUCUCGGCUUCUCCGUUCUUCUUUUCUCCACUCAUUCCCUUUCUCAUUUCCUAAUUUUCCCUUCUCACACAAAAAUUGGGUUUGCUGGAUAGCUCUCAUCAGCUUGCUCUCUUGAUCCGCUGUAUUGAGGUUGCUCCUCCUCACCACAAGCCACCACUGGAGCUGGUGCUGCCACAGGGUGACCAUCGACGGCGGCUGGUUUGGCCCCUCGCCCGGAACCUCUUGGAUCCAGCUUCAGUAUGAGGGAGCUUGAGACAUUUUCUUCCCCAAGCGUGCAAACCAAACGCAUCACCGCUAUUUCUGCGCGAGGCAGCUCAACACAUCAUUCACAUCCUCUACUGCGGCAACAUUCUUCAAUUCGAACUGCAGAAUGGAGCUGUGGCAUUAAGACAGAAACCCACUAUCGAAUUUGAGUUGGUACUUACUUGAGGUGGUCUGAUUGCUCGAUGGAGCCAGCUGGUGUCCGCUGGAGGAAGACAAUGCCAAAGUGCCACUUGUUGGAGGAAGUUGACUUUGAAGUGUCGUUCACGGGAGGAAGAUGAUGUACAAGGUAUAUCAUCUAGUCUAGAGGAAAAUUAACCCUUGAGGCGUAAUUGCUCUGGUUUGGGCAAUCAAAUCUCUAUACAUUACUGUGAGAGUUUGAAGAGAUUGCAUCUCUGAACUUUUUUUUUGUGCCUGUUCUUUUUAUUGUGGGAUGGUCUGACGGCUCAUGGAUGGUCAAACCUGUUGGGAUCAUGAGGUUUCUAUUGUGGGAUGGUCUAAUCGCUCAACCUGUUGGGGUCAUGAGAUUGUAAAUUGUGGGAUGGUCUAGUCGCUCAACCUAUUGGGGCCGUGAGAUUAUAAUUGUGGGAUGUUUUUUU